GACGAACGCUGGCGGCGUGCCUAAUACAUGCAAGUCGAACGCUGAGGGAGGAGCUUUCUUCUCUGGAUGAGUUGCGAACGGGUGAGUAACGCGUAGGUAACCUGCCUGGUAGCGGGGGAUAACUAUUGGAAACGAUGGCUAAUACCGCAUAAUAGUACAUGUUGCAUGACAUUUGCUUGAAAGGUGCGAUUGUAUCGCUACCAGAUGGGGCUUCGUUGUAUUAGCUAGUUGGUGAGGUAACGGCUAACCAAGGCGACGAUACAUAGCCGACCGGAGAGGGGGGGGAGGCACCCUGGGAAUGGGACACGGCCCAGAGCCCUACGGGGGGCAGCAAGAGGGAAACUUCGGCAAUGGGGGGAAAUCUUACCGAGACACGCCGCGGGAGUGAAGAAGGGUGUCGGGUCGUAAAGCUCGGUUGUAAGGGAAGAACGAGAGUGAGAGUGGAAAGUUCACACUGUGACGGUAUCUUACCAGAAAGGGACGGCUAACUACGUG
rnacentral:rRNA from 1 species